UUACUGUAAAUUGUUGGUUCGACUGGAAGAGCCUAAUGUAUGAACUGUGUAGGGAUCGAUGUCGGCAGAAGUGCCGAAUGGAAGACGUACACAGUAACUGGUCGGCUGAAAGAGCUGAAUGGAAGAAGUACACAAUGACUGGUCGGCUGAAAGAGCCGAAUGGAAGAAAUACACAAUGACUGGUCGGCUGAAAGAGCCGAAUGCCUUUAUAUAAUAAUAAAAAGAGUGUGCCCGAAGGGCAUAUAGACUCAGAAAUAUAGUUUACAAUAGAGUGAUGCCCGUGGGGCAGACAGACUCUGCAAAUGU
rnacentral:lncRNA from 1 species